rnacentral:rRNA from 1 species
ACGAGCGGCGAACGGGUGAGUAACACGUGAGCAACCUACCCUCAACUUCGGGAUAAGCCUCGGAAACGGGGUCUAAUACCGGAUAUCACUUCCUGCCUCAUGGUGGGGGGUUGAAAGUUCUGGCGGUUGGGGAUGGGCUCGCGGCCUAUCAGCUUGUUGGUGGGGUAAUGGCCUACCAAGGCGUCGACGGGUAGCCGGCCUGAGAGGGCGACCGGCCACACUGGGACUGAGACACGGCCCAGACUCCUACGGGAGGCAGCAGUGGGGAAUAUUGCGCAAUGGACGAAAGUCUGACGCAGCAACGCCGCGUGAGGGAUGACGGCCUUCGGGUUGUAAACCUCUUUCAGCAGGGACGAAGCGAGAGUGACGGUACCUGCAGAAGAAGGACCGGCCAACUACGUGCCAGCAGCCGCGGUAAUACGUAGGGUCCGAGCGUUGUCCGGAAUUAUUGGGCGUAAAGGGCUCGUAGGCGGUUCGUCACGUCGGGAGUGAAAACUCGGAGCUCAACUCCGAGCCUGCUUCCGAUACGGGCAGACUAGAGGUAGGCAGGGGAGAGCGGAACUCCUGGUGUAGCGGUGGAAUGCGCAGAUAUCAGGAAGAACACCGGUGGCGAAGGCGGCUCUCUGGGCCUUACCUGACGCUGAGGAGCGAAAGCGUGGGUAGCGAACAGGAUUAGAUACCCUGGUAGUCCACGCCGUAAACGUUGGGCGCUAGGUGUGGGGGACAUUCCACGUCCUCCGUGCCGCAGCUAACGCAUUAAGCGCCCCGCCUGGGGAGUACGGCCGCAAGGCUAAAACUCAAAGGAAUUGACGGGGGCCCGCACAAGCGGCGGAGCAUGCGGAUUAAUUCGAUGCAACGCGAAGAACCUUACCUGGGUUUGACAUAUAGGGAAAUCUCACAGAGAUGUGAGGUCCGUAAGGGUCCUAUACAGGUGGUGCAUGGCUGUCGUCAGCUCGUGUCGUGAGAUGUUGGGUUAAGUCCCGCAACGAGCGCAACCCUCGUCCUAUGUUGCCAGCACGUUAUGGUGGGGACUCAUAGGAGACUGCCGGGGUCAACUCGGAGGAAGGUGGGGAUGACGUCAAGUCAUCAUGCCCCUUAUGUCCAGGGCUUCACGCAUGCUACAAUGGCCGGUACAAAGGGCUGCGAAACUGCAAAGUGGAGCGAAUCCCAAAAAGCCGGUCUCAGUUCGGAUUGGGGUCUGCAACUCGACCCCAUGAAGUCGGAGUCGCUAGUAAUCGCAGAUCAGCAACGCUGCGGUGAAUACGUUCCCGGGCCUUGUACACACCGCCCGUCACGUCAUGAAAGUCGGCAACACCCGAAGCCGG